ensembl:lncRNA INTS6-AS1 INTS6 antisense RNA 1
CCGUGGGAGGGAAGGCACUCUCUGUCAAGCUGCUGUCACCUUACCUGAAGUAAGGAGUCCACGCCUGCAUGUCCGAGGAAAACAGUUUUCUCAAACACAUUAGUUGAAAAACUGAAGACGCUGCCUAAAAUACAAGCUGAGUUAGAGACAGCCCUUGUAAGACUAGGAACAGACUUAAGUAUGCCCUGGAAGGAGAUGAAGUAAAGAAGAUUUGCAUGCAGCGGUUUAUUAAAAUUGAUGGCAAGGUCUAAACUGAUAUAACCUACCCUGCUGGAUUCAUGGAGGCCAUCAGCAUUGACAAGACAGAAGAGAAUUUCUCUCUGAUCUAUGACACCAAGAGUCUCUUUGCUGUACAUCAUAUUACACCUGAGGAGGCCAAGUACAAGUUGUGCAAAGUGAGAAAAAUCUUUCUGGGAACAAAAGGAAUCCCUCAUCUGGUGACUCAUGAUGGUCGCACCAUCCGCUACACUGAUCCCCUUAUCAAGGUGAAUGAUACCAUUCAGAUUGAUUUGGAGACUGGCAAGAUUACUGAUUUCAUCAAAUUCGACACUGGUCACCUGUGUAUGGUGACUGGAGGUGCUAACCUGGGAAGAAUUGGUGUGAUCACCAACAGAGAGAGGCACCCUGGAUCUUUUGACAUUGUUCACAUGGAAGAUGCCAAUGGCAACAGCUUUGCCACUCAACUUUCCAACAUUUUUGUUAUUGGCAAGGGCAACAAACUAUGGAUUUCUCUUCCCUGAGGAAAGGGUAUCCGCCUCACCAUUGCUGAAGAGAGAGACAAAAGACUGCCAAACAGAGCAGUGGGUG